rnacentral:lncRNA from 1 species
UAGGAAGCUGCUCGUGGGGCACGCCACCACCACAGUGGGGACCCGAGGGGACUCACCGCUGGGAGAGGAAAACGACACCACCGCUCGGCCUCGGGCAUCUGACAGGCAACCCGGAGUACUCCAGGGGCACCACAGAGGACCAGGGGAGGGACCGCUCGCAAGGCACACGCCAAGGCGGCAAAGCGAGAAUGCCUGCUGCGUCCCAAAGGACCCAGGCCCCCCCCCUGACUGACACCAGAAGGCAGCAGGGCGGGAGACCAGAGGUCAGGCCAGAGGCCGCACCCCUAUCUUCCCCCACAACACCCGCAGGUGGGGGAGGAGCAGCGAGGGGCCCGCGGACAGAAUGAGAGGUGCGGCCUAGCUCACCGUGAGAGGCUGUCCCUCAUCUGGCGUGGCUUAGGCCCAAGCCCAGGAGAGCGCCACAUCACCACAUUGAUGUAAACCUUUUUUUUUAAUCAUUUCAUAAUUAUGUUGGUUGACUUGUCUGUGAUUCUGAUCUUACAAGGAGAUGAAACUCUUUGUAGCAGUGGGUGAGC